GCGGAGGAAAAGAAACCAACAGGGAUUGCCUCAGUAACGGCGAGUGAAGCGGCAUCAGCUCAAAUUUGAAAUCUGGCCUCACGGUCCGAGUUGUAAUUUGUAGAGAAUGCUUCGGGCGAGGUCCGGUCUAAGUUCCUUGGAACAGGACGUCAUAGAGGGUGAGAAUCCCGUAUGCGACCGGGUGCCUCUGUCCAUGUGAAGCUUCUUCGACGAGUCGAGUUGUUUGGGAAUGCAGCUCAAAAUGGGUGGUAAAUUUCAUCUAAAGCUAAAUACUGGCCAGAGACCGAUAGCGCACAAGUAGAGUGAUCGAAAGAUGAAAAGCACUUUGGAAAGAGAGUUAAACAGUACGUGAAAUUGUUGAAAGGGAAGCGCUUGCAACCAGACUUGCGCGUAGCCGAUCAUCCGGUGUUCUCACCGGUGCACUCGGUUGCGCUCAGGCCAGCAUCGGUUUCGGUGGUUGGAUAAAGGCCUUGGGAAUGUAGCUUCCUUCGGGGAGUGUUAUAGCCCUCGGUGCAAUGCAGCCUACCGGGACCGAGGACCGCGCUUCGGCUAGGAUGCUGGCGUAAUGGUUGUAAGCGACCCGUCUUGAAACACGGACCAAGGAGUCUAACAUCUAUGCGAGUGUUUGGGUGUCAAACCCAUACGCGUAAUGAAAGUGAACGGAGGUGAGAACCCUUAAGGGUGCAUCAUCGACCGAUCCUGAUGUCUUCGGAUGGAUUUGAGUAAGAGCAUAGCUGUUGGGACCCGAAAGAUGGUGAACUAUGCCUGAAUAGGGUGAAGCCAGAGGAAACUCUGGUGGAGGCUCGCAGCGGUUCUGACKWGCAAAUCGAUCGUCAAAUUUGGGUAUAGGGCGAAAGACU
rnacentral:rRNA from 1 species